rnacentral:rRNA from 1 species
GCUCAGGACGAACGCUGGCGGCGUGCCUAAUACAUGCAAGUCGAGCGGACUUGAUGGAGUGCUUGCACUCCUGAAGGUUAGCGGCGGACGGGUGAGUAACACGUAGGCAACCUGCCCUCAAGACUGGGAUAACUACCGGAAACGGUAGCUAAUACCGGAUAAUUUAUUUUGCAGCAUUGUGAAAUAAUGAAAGGCGGAGCAAUCUGUCACUUGAGGAUGGGCCUGCGGCGCAUUAGCUAGUUGGUGGGGUAACGGCCCACCAAGGCGACGAUGCGUAGCCGACCUGAGAGGGUGAACGGCCACACUGGGACUGAGACACGGCCCAGACUCCUACGGGAGGCAGCAGUAGGGAAUCUUCCGCAAUGGGCGAAAGCCUGACGGAGCAACGCCGCGUGAGUGAUGAAGGUUUUCGGAUCGUAAAGCUCUGUUGCCAAGGAAGAACGUCUUCUAGAGUAACUGCUAGGAGAGUGACGGUACUUGAGAAGAAAGCCCCGGCUAACUACGUGCC